GAGCUCUGUGACAGAGCAUCUGCCUUGCACACAGAAGGUCCCGGGUUCAAUCCCCAGCAUCUCCA